ACAAACGCUGGCGGCGUGCCUGAUACAUGCAAGUCGAACGGGUGCUUAGCUUCGGCUAAGUACUAGUGGCGCACGGGUGAGUAACGCGUGGGUAAUCUGCCUUAGAGCGGGGGAUAACCAGUCGAAAGAUUGGCUAAUACCCCAUAAGACCACAGGAUCUGCGGAUCUCGAGGUAAAAGGUUUUUCGCUUUAAGAUGAGCCCGCGUGAGAUUAGCUAGUUGGUGAGGUAAUGGCUCACCAAGGCGACGAUCUCUAGCUGGUCUGAGAGGAUGAUCAGCCACACUGGAACUGAGACACGGUCCAGACUCCUACGGGAGGCAGCAGUAGGGAAUAUUGCACAAUGGAGGAAACUCUGAUGCAGCGACGCCGCGUGAGUGAUGAAGGCCUUCGGGUUGUAAAGCUCUGUCGUACGGGAAUAAGAAAGUGAAUGUACCGUGCAAGAAAGGGUCGGCUAACUUCGU
rnacentral:rRNA from 1 species